UACGGAGGGGGCAAGCGUUGUUCGGAUUUACUGGGCGUAAAGGGUGUGUAGGCGGCCAUGCAAGUCUGGUGUGAAAUCCUUACCGCUUACCGGAAGGGGGUCACUGGAAACUGCAAGGCUUGAGUAUGGUAGAGGCAAUCGGAAUUCCUGGUGUAGCGGUGGAAUGUGUAGAUAUCAGGAAGAACACCUGUGGCGAAGGCGGAUUGCUGGGCCAUCACUGACGCUGAGACACGAAAGCGUGGGGAGCAAACGGG
rnacentral:rRNA from 1 species